AUACGGAGGGUGCAAGCGUUAAUCGGAAUUACUGGGCGUAAAGCGCGCGUAGGCGGUUCGGUUAGUUGGAUGUGAAAGCCCUGGGCUCAACCUGGGAACUGCAUCCAAUACUGCCAGACUAGAGUACGGUAGAGGGGGGUAGAAUUCCACGUGUAGCGGUGAAAUGCGUAGAGAUGUGGAGGAAUACCAGUGGCGAAGGCGGCCCCCUGGAUCGAUACUGACGCUGAGGUGCGAAAGCGUGGGGAGCAAACAGGAUUAGAAACCCCGGUAGUCC
rnacentral:rRNA from 1 species